GUAAAACUGUACAUUCACUAGGUAUUUUCAGUCAUUUUACUGACUUCCACUAGGUAAGAAAAUACAAUUUCGUAUUAGUAUCUCGUGCUUGAGUGUAUGAAAAGAAACUUUCUACCCUACAUGCUGUACUGCCUCCUGUAUUUAGGUUUGUAAAAAUUUUCCAAGUAUAUAGCACAAGUGGAAGUAGUUUCUCAUCACUUAAAAUUGACUAGGUGUUAUAUAUUACAGACCAAAAUAGUACACACCUUAUUUAAAAGGGUUGAAACAUUUUUUUUAUUACAAUUGUCAAAGUCAUUUCACUAGUAACUCAGGAAUUAGGAACACUUUUUAUAUAUAUUUAUAUAUAUAUAUUUAAAUGCCUGCCAUUUUCAGUGUAUUGGCUGUACCCUAGCCAAAAACAAACCAAAAAAAAAAAAAAACAACCCAACCAAAAAACAGAAAGGAAAAAAAGAACACAACACACAGGGCGAGGAAGGGGACUGCAAAUUCACCCCACAAACCAGAUCCAAAGGAACACCCCAAAAAACCCCCCAGAAACAUUUGGUCACUAUUUACAAACAGCAAAAGAAAAGGUACCUACAAAAGCAGGGAAAGCAAUGGCUGAAAAUGGCAGUCAUUCACGGACAGGCAACAAAGAAAUCACUUUAUCAAUAUGCCAUUCUCACACCUGUUGCUGCAGAGGGAUGCUUUGCCUAGAUUUGGAGCACCCCCCAAAAAUGCUUACAAUGUAUUUUGUGACUGGCAGAGGUGGAAAACUCCAACAACCAGGGAUAUUCAGCUGUCUCAGAACAAAGCAUGUGUAUUUGGGGUAUCAUCCACUGAUCUUAAAACUUUUUUUCUUUAGGGAUGUCAACUAUCCACUCCAAUAAUAAGAAACAAAUUACCACUUGGUUUAUACUUACUAUUGCAGUUACAGGGACUAAGAGAGGGACAAAAAGAAAAUAAAAUAUAUUAAAUGAAUAGGAGGAGGAGUGGCAGUAAAAAUAGUAUUUUAUUCCCUUGCCCACCCAGUCUGCUUCUCCCUCUCAUUCCCACAGCAACAUUACAAUCAGGAAAAAAAAAAAAAGAAAAAAAAAGGUUGGGGGUGUGGGGAGGGGAAAUACAGGGUAAAAACAGUCAAAUCACAAUAGGAAAUUUUCAAAAUAGGUUAUUCAGUUUAGUCAUCUUCAUCUCCUUCGUCUUCGGGUUCUCGUUUCCUCUUCUGUCCCCGUUCUUCAUCGGGUUCUUCUUCAUCUUCAUCAUCAUCUACGUCACCAUCAUUAUAGCCUUCCUCAUCCUCCUCUUCCUCUCCGCUUACGUCCUCCUCUUCUCCUUCCUCUUCCUCCUCCUCAUCCUCUUCAUCUUCUACUACCUGAGCAUCAUCGUCAUACUCCUCUUCGUCUUCAUCUUCCUCCUCGUCGUCUAAGCCCUCCACGUAGCCCUCUGCAUCAGAGUCUGGUGCUUCUUUGUCAUCCCGAUCGUAGCCAUCGAGGUAUGUGAGUUGUGGGAGGAGCUUGAAUACGUUUUCUCUAUAAUCAUUCAAGUUGGUUACCUCGCAAUUGAAAAGAUCUAAACUCUUCAGGUUUUCUAACUUUUUCAGAGGUUCUAUUGUACCAAGAUCUUUUAUUUUGUUGCCACUUAGAUUUAGAUGCGUGAGGUUUGGACACUUUUCUGCCAACACUUCCAGUCCUCCUGAGACUCUGUUGUCACUUAGUUCGAGCUUCUUAAGUUUGUUUAACUUUGGUAAGUUUGCAACUGAGGCUAAGCCUACGUUGAUUGUACUCAAGAAUUCCAGCUCUUCAAACUCAUCUGUAAGGCCUUCAAUUUUGCCUUCGUAUGACCUACAGUUGUCAAGAACAAGUUCCUUAACCCUCCGCUCGUCCCGCCGCCGCGUCUCGCCGCCAGGAACCUCCUCCCGCCCGGCGACAGCGGCGACAAAAUGGCAGACGGCGGCGGUCCGUCAUGGAGGAGCCCCUCCGCGCCCCGGCCGCCCCCGCCGCGCCCCCUGAGGGGAGGGGAGGGCCGCGCUCC
rnacentral:lncRNA from 1 species